rnacentral:rRNA from 1 species
UGAAGAGAGGAGCUUGCUCUUCUUGGAUGAGUUGCGAACGGGUGAGUAACGCGUAGGUAACCUGCCUUGUAGCGGGGGAUAACUAUUGGAAACGAUAGCUAAUACCGCAUAACAAUGGAUGACACAUGUCAUUUAUUUGAAAGGGGCAAUUGCUCCACUACAAGAUGGACCUGCGUUGUAUUAGCUAGUAGGUGAGGUAACGGCUCACCUAGGCGACGAUACAUAGCCGACCUGAGAGGGUGAUCGGCCACACUGGGACUGAGACACGGCCCAGACUCCUACGGGAGGCAGCAGUAGGGAAUCUUCGGCAAUGGGGGCAACCCUGACCGAGCAACGCCGCGUGAGUGAAGAAGGUUUUCGGAUCGUAAAGCUCUGUUGUAAGUCAAGAACGAGUGUGAGAGUGGAAAGUUCACACUGUGACGGUAGCUUACCAGAAAGGGACGGCUAACUACGUGCCAGCAGCCGCGGUAAUACGUAGGUCCCGAGCGUUGUCCGGAUUUAUUGGGCGUAAAGCGAGCGCAGGCGGUUUGAUAAGUCUGAAGUUAAAGGCUGUGGCUCAACCAUAGUUCGCUUUGGAAACUGUCAAACUUGAGUGCAGAAGGGGAGAGUGGAAUUCCAUGUGUAGCGGUGAAAUGCGCAGAGAUAUGGAGGAACACCAGUGGCGAAGGCGACUUUCUG